UAAGUUGAGUGUUCAUAUAAUAAUUAUUCACACAAAAGAUAUUUCAUACAUAUUUACAUAGCAUGUAUAUGACUAUAACAAAUCUAUGUCACCAUAUUAAGAUUCAAUCCUUAACCGAAGGCAUCCUGAUUCAGUUGCUUUCCUGAAAGUUGGAUCAUGUAUCGGCGGUGUCUUGUCAAAAGCACCCUUUUCAUACUCAACCAAAC
rnacentral:lncRNA from 1 species